rnacentral:rRNA from 1 species
CCAAUAGCGUAUAUUAAAGUUGUUGCAGUUAAAAAGCUCGUAGUUGAAUUUCGGGGUCAAUAGGUUGGUCAUGCCACUGGUAUGUACUGGUCUCACUGAUUCCUCCUUCCUGAUGAACUGUAAUGCCAUUAAUUUGGUGUUGCAGGGAAUCUGGACUGUUACUUUGAAAAAAUUAGAGUGUUUAAAGCAGGUUAACGCCUGAAUACAUUAGCAUGGAAUAAUGAAAUAGGACGUUCGAUCCUAUUUUGUUGGUUUCUAGGAUUGACGUAAUGAUUAAUAGGGAUAGUUGGGGGCAUUAGUAUUCAAUUGUCAGAGGUGAAAUUCUUGGAUUUAUUGAAGACUAACUACUGCGAAAGCAUUUGCCAAGGAUGUUUUCAUUAAUCAAGAACGAAAGUUAGGGGAUCGAAGACGAUCAGAUACCGUCGUAGUCUUAACCAUAAACUAUGCCGACUAGGGAUCGGAUGAUGUUAAUUUUUUAAUGACUCAUUCGGCGCCUUACG